rnacentral:rRNA from 1 species
CCUACGGGAGGCAGCAGUGGGGAAUAUUGCACAAUGGGGGAAACCCUGAUGCAGCGACGCCGCGUGAGUGAAGAAGUAUUUCGGUAUGUUAAGCUCUAUCAGCCGGGAAGAAAAUGACGGUACCUGAUUCAGAAGCCCCGGCUAACUACGUGCCAGCAGCCGCGGUAAUACGUAGGGGGCCAGCGUUAUCCGGAUUUACUGGGUGGAAAGGGAGCGUAGACGGUGAUGCAAGUCAGAAGUGAAAGCCCGGGGCUCAACUCCGGGACUGCUUUUGAAACUGUGGGACUGGAGUGCAGGAGAGGUAAGCGGAAUGCCUGGUGUAGCGGUGAAAUGCGUAGAUAUCAGGAGGAACACCAGUUGCGAAGGCGGCUUACUGGACUGUAACUGACGUUGAGGCUCGAAAGCGUGGGGAGCAAACAGGAUUAGAUACCCUGGUAGUC